GCAUACGUAGAUUUACUUUUGUUGGUAAGCUAACAUUUGAGAGGAGUACAUGGUGUUGCCAUUUCUGGAAAGUAAUGAAGAGGUGAAAAUGCUGGUCAAAGCGAUCCACCAGUAGAAAAUUACUCCAAAAUAUUAACUUUCAUGUGGCCAUGGGAGGAUCACAGUGAAGUACUGGUUUUCUCUGUUUUGGAUAAAGUCGCCGCCUUUUGACUUAUUUUCAGAAGCCGGGGUCAACCAGCUUCUUCUCCCACGCCCAUCAGUGGUAAGAUAUCUAGAGGCCGCCUUCGGAACACGCAUGGAUACGCCGGCUUUCCCCCCCUCCUGUGUAAGCUCCAACACCCGCUCUCAGCCGCCGCCGCUCGGCGUCACCACCACCGUGCGGCUUCCUUCGCUCCGCCGUAAGCCGGGAGCUUCCUCCCCCAGGGCUGCAGAACGCCAGCGUGGUUAUCCCGCCAGCGACCCCGUCCGCCGUCUUCUUCACAGAAAUUAACAAAAAAAAGAGAAGUCCAGAGGCGUGCGCCCUCACAUUUUUGGAAGAGCAGAACGAAUUCAAGAGGACGAAAGAAAAGAUGUCAGAGAUUAGAGAUCACGGGUGGCAAGGCCCUUUCUCCUCCGCCUUCCAACUCCAUUAAAUCGACGGCGAAGCCUCUCCCAACUCCAUUGCAGACCGGAAGCUCAGCUCGGAUAGAGAACGCAGGCAGGGUUCGGUGGGGAAAGCCCGAUAAUCCGGUUGGAGGAGGAUAAGGGGAGGCGCACAGUGGGCAAGGGGCUGGCCGAGUACGGGCAAACCGUGAAGAAGCAAUCGGAACGAACGACACGACACACGCAAACGACACGUGUGGGAGGGUGACCCUGUCAGGUGUGGAGAGAACAGGAGCAUUUAGUAGGCGGGCCAGUCGCGGUGGCAGGCUGGAAGCGUCC
rnacentral:lncRNA from 1 species